rnacentral:rRNA from 1 species
GCAGUCGAGCGGAAGAUGGGAGCUUGCUCCCUGAUGUUAGCGGCGGACGGGUGAGUAACAUGUGGGUAACCUGCCUGUAAGACUGGGAUAACUCCGGGAAACCGGGGCUAAUACCGGAUGCUUGAUUGAACCGCAUGGUUCAAUUAUAAAAGGUGGCUUUUACCUACCACUUACAGAUGGACCCGCGGCGCAUUACCUAGUUGGUGAGGUAACGGCUCACCAAGGCAACAAUGCGUACCCAACCUGAAAGGGUGAUCGGCCACACUGGGACUGAAACACGGCCCAAACUCCUACGGGA